rnacentral:rRNA from 1 species
AUUGAACGCUGGCGGCAGGCCUAACACAUGCAAGUCGAACGAGUGGCGGACGGGUGAGUAAUGUCUGGGAAACUGCCCGAUGGAGGGGGAUAACUACUGGAAACGGUAGCUAAUACCGCAUACCAUCGGAUGUGCCCAGGUGGGAUUAGCUAGUAGGUGGGGUAACGGCUCACCAAGUCGACGAUCCCUAGCUGGUUUGAGAGGAUGACCAGCCACACUGGAACUGCGACACGGUCCAUCCUCCUACGGGAGGCAGCAGUGGGGAAUAUUGCACAAUGGGCGCAAGCCUGAUGCAGCCAUGCCGCGUGUAUGAAGAGGGCCUUCGGGUUGUAAAGUACUUGCAGCGGGGAGGCGUUACCCGCAGAAGAAGCACCGGCUAACUCCGUGCCAGCAGCCGCGGUAAUUC